CAGUCGCCGCGGUAAUACGUAGGGCGCAAGCGUUGUCCGGAAUUAUUGGGCGUAAAGAGCUCGUAGGCGGUCUGUCGCGUCUGGUGUGAAAUCCCGAGGCUCAACCUCGGGCUUGCAUCGGGUACGGGCAGACUAGAGUGCGGUAGGGGAGACUGGAAUUCCUGGUGUAGCGGUGGAAUGCGCAGAUAUCAGGAGGAACACCGAUGGCGAAGGCAGGUCUCUGGGCCGCAACUGACGCUGAGGAGCGAAAGCAUGGGGAGCGAACAGGAUUAGAGACCCCGGUAGUCCCUUUCUCUUAUAC
rnacentral:rRNA from 1 species